rnacentral:rRNA from 1 species
AGCAGUAGCCGCGGUAAUACAGAGGGUGCGAGCGUUAAUCGGAUUUACUGGGCGUAAAGCGUGCGUAGGCGGCUUCUUAAGUCGGAUGUGAAAUCCCUGAGCUUAACUUAGGAAUUGCAUUCGAUACUGGGAAGCUAGAGUAUGGGAGAGGAUGGUAGAAUUCCAGGUGUAGCGGUGAAAUGCGUAGAGAUCUGGAGGAAUACCGAUGGCGAAGGCAGCCAUCUGGCCUAAUACUGACGCUGAGGUACGAAAGCAUGGGGAGCAAACAGGAUUAGAUCCGUGUAGUCCCUGUCUCUUAUACAC